UGUAAAGAAACUUGUUUAUCUCCAGACAAGAAAAUGCCCCACCCCACUUACUAAUCAGAUUUUUUUUUCAGAAAUAAGUUAUAUCACUGCAUUUUUUCUUUUUCAUGACCAAAAUUGGAAACAGUCUAAACAUUUUUAUAUCGGAAGUUCCCAGUCAAUAAAUUCUAGCACGCUUCCUAAGAAGGGAUACCAGCCGGCAGCCAGGGAGAUGGCUUGCUUGGUGGUUAAGACGGCCAGAGUUGAGUCUCCAGUGUCCACAUCAGAUGAUUUACAAGCCAGUAUCUCCAGUUCCACGGACUCCCUGCCCUCUUACCACCCACGUUGUGGCUCAGUACUUUCUCUGACUCCAGUUCCGUGGGAUCCAGCGUCCUCUUCUGGCCUCUUCAGGGCCCCACCCCCACCCCACCAAACCGGAACCACCACCACCCGCAGUCUCAGAACUUCAAAGAGAACUGUUACAAUUUCUCUCCCAUCACUGCUUGGGAAGCCAACUGCGGAACAGGAGGCAACAAUCUAUUUUGCCUAAGUUCUUUUCCUAUAGAUGUGUGCUCUCAGCAUCUGCUCCAGCUGCUGUGUCUUCUGCUUGCUACACUGUGUCCCUGCCAUGAUGGUUGUCUCGCUAACUCUCUGGAAACACAGCCCAAAUAA
rnacentral:lncRNA from 1 species